rnacentral:rRNA from 1 species
UACGUAGGGGGCAAGCGUUGUCCGGAAUCAUUGGGCGUAAAGCGCGUGUAGGCGGCCAGAAAAGUCCGCUGUGAAAACUCGAGGCUCAACUUCGAGCUGUCGGUGGAAACUUUCUGGCUAGAGUCCGGAAGAGGAGAAUGGAAUUCCUGGUGUAGCGGUGAAAUGCGCAGAUAUCAGGAAGAACACCCGUGGCGAAGGCGGUUCUCUGGGACGGUACUGACGCUGAGGCAUGAAAGCGUGGGGAGCAAACAGG